CGGCCUUUGAUAAACCAGUCGUGGUGCACUGGCUGGAAUGAGAAAUAGCCCAAUGGGCCCACCGACGGGGAUUGAUCCCACACCGAACGUGCAUGAAGCAAGUGCUGUACCACUGGGCUACGUCAUUGUAUAAUAAUAUCCAUUUAGUAAAAUUCCAUGAUGACUGACAGUACUGAGAUUUUGACAAAUGAAGAGUUUAAAAUCCAUAUUUCAUUACAUACACAUUUAAUCUUGUUUUUAUCAGGAUAAAAUAUCUGACUUGAGAAUAUCAUGGCAUGAUUAUCUGGGACCGGUAGCAGCAUUGAUGGCUUGUGUGAACAGUAUAGAAACCAUAGACACAAAAACAAAAAAUGCAGUUUAGUUGAAAUCAAAUCCUCUACAUUUUCUCGUUUCAUUACAAUCUGUGGGAAGUCAAGGGCAUGGCAUGUCCAAGUUUCUUUCAUUCAACCAUGUUUCUAUGGGAAGUCAAGGGCAUGGCAUGUCCAAGUUUCCUUUCAUUCAACCAUGUUUCUAUGUGAAGUCAAGGGCAUGGCAUGUCCAAGUUUCCUUUCAUUCAACCAUGUUUCUAUGGGAAGUCAAGGGCAAUGUCAUGUCCAAGUUUCUUUCAUUCAACCAUGUUUACCAGCAGCUUCAUAUGUUUGGAAUGCCUCAAAAUAUUUACAGCUCAUGAGCUCAUUUGAGAAAGUCUAAAAAUCAUUUAAUCUUUAAAAGGUGUAAAAUGUAACCAAAAUGCAGAGGAAUAACUACAAUGUCAAAUUAAAUUAUUUUAGAAUGUAGUCAAGGCCUGCAUUGAGAGACAACAAGCUAUGCCAAUAUUAAUAAUUUGAUUGGAUCCUGAUGUAAUCAUUUGGUUUAUCUUGAAACGAAUGGUUUCCUGCUCUCUGGCAGAACUCAGCCCUGUUGUAAGCAAUUUGGAUGCUAUGUUGAACAAACAACCAGAUGGGUAUAAUAAAGAUGAAACUCAAUAUCUGUCAUGCCAGUAAGUAUUGUCUGAUCACGAUGUAAUGAAGUGUAAAAAAGAGUUUACGAUAUCAUUUCUAAAUUUAAAAAUGAUGAGAUAUUUUCUUUCAUUUAUUUAUUUUUAAAAUCCAUUCAUAGAAAAUUAAAGCAAGAAACAGAUAGCAUGUUUAAGGGCUGCUUUCCAUGCACACGGGUUUUGGCAUGGAAAGGGCAUGGAAUGCAGAAAAUGGAUAAAUUGUGUUUCUAAAUGUAUUUGUUCGUUAUCAGUAGCAGCGUUUCCAUAUAUAUCAUGGUACGUGGCAUGGUUUUUAAUUACGUAUGAAUGAACCACACCUGCACCACAUCAUCAAUUGUGCACAUAGAAAAUGGCUCUUAAUAUUGUCGUCUUCUUCUUCUCCACAGUAAACCGCCUCUCCACAGGUGCACCAGGGACUGCGUUCACAUAUAUACAGUAGACAGUUUCAGAGAAAUGUGAAUAAAUGUUUGAAUAAAUUUUCUAUUUGGAUUAAAAUUUAGAUUGGAGUACAGAUUUAGAUCAUGAAGACACACACGUUUUGUUUUGUUUUGUUUUGUUUUGUUUUGUAAAAUCUGGUUUGAAUUACUAAUACAAGAUUUUUAAAUUGUGUAUAGAUUACACUUUAUUUUAAAACUUUUAUUUAUUGUAUGCAUCAUGGGUGAUGUUUAAUUGACGGCAACAAGUUUAGUGAGAUGGGAAAUUACACUGUUAUGCAAAUAUGUACAUGUAUAUAUAUAGAUAUAUAUUUAUGAUCUACAUAAAGUAACAUUUUAUAA